rnacentral:ribozyme from 1 species
AAGCGCCUGGACUUAAAGCCAUUGCACU